rnacentral:lncRNA from 10 species
GAGGUUCAUCUGUGAGUAUUUUCAGAUUGUCACAUCUACAAUCACAUCUCAGUUAAUUAAGAGGAGCGAGUUGCAGGGAAAACAGCCUGAGCUCUGUUCUGGGACCCCGCUUUACUGAAAUAAGAUAACCUUCAAUGUUUUAGCCCAGCAAAUCUCAUUGCCCCACAGCAUAAAACCAAGGUUGAGAGGCUUUCUGGGGUCCCUCAGCUGAUACAAGUGGGGUAUGCAUGGAGGACACUCCAUCUAUCCUGGGCAAAUUUCUUGAGCCUUGCAGACUGGCUUACAAUGUGUCACGGGCUUCUGUUGUCUUGCUGCCUAUCUGUAAGUAGUAAAAAGUCUCUUCAUGCAGCUUGUUGUAUGCACAGGUGUUUUCUCUCACUGGACUCAGACAAGUUGGUGACCCGCACACAAUAAACCUGCUCCACAACAAGAGGAGAAGGAAUUCCAGUUUCUAGGUAUGAGGCCACAGAAAUUUACUAAAAGAGAACUUAACAUAAAUGAGAAAGGUAGUUGUGAUGAACAGAAUGAAGAUGUCCUAGAGGAAGUAGUGCUGGCAGAAAAUUUUCACGUUAGAAAAAACUCUUGGAGGUGUUUCAAGACACUGAAAGAACGAAGAAUACAAUGCGGGAAGCCGAUCCGAACUUAGAAAAGCGUAUGAUAAUUCGCCAGUGCGUAAAGAAAGAUGGUGCUCCACAUUGUUAGUUACAUGACAAGGAGAGCUCAAAAUGGAGAAAGGAACAGAGUAAGAACAAUGGCUUCAGGAGGAAAAUGCAAUGAUAGAAGCUUUGAAAGAAAGACAACUAGAAGGUCAUAGUAGAUGAUGAUACCUGCCUGUCUGACCUUUGAGGAAGGGGAAUUUCUGAAACCUAAGGCUUCCUUGUAUUGCUCAAUUCAGUGAGAAAGAAAUCACUAAUGAU